ACAAGAUCAUUGGAAACCUCGUGCUUUUCACAAGGCAUCUUCUCUAUGACAUGAAAGACGAAGAGCCACAUGCCAGCACCAGUGUCUUCCUGCACUUGGACACAAGUCUCCACAAAACCAACCACAUCCAAGAGGGUCCGAAUUUGAACACAACGUGCUGAGACAGUGAUGCUGGAGGAAGAGGGAUCACUACUGGAAGAAGAAACAAAGAGGAACACAGAUGAAAGUCAAGUAGCACCUGGAAAAUGACGAUGAGGAGUCCCAGCCCUCGCUCUGUGCAGCUAUCUGCAGCCUCAGCCUCUGAAAGGCACACAGAGCCCCUUCCAACCAGCAAGAGAAACCUAAACUGGAGUUAUUUUCUGAAAUUCCUGCCUUUUUGAACACACUCUGCAUCACCAAGUCCCCUGUAAACCUCCAUCCAGGCUGCACUGAGAGGAGAGGGCUCUGCAUUUGACUGGCCUUUGACAACAGCACAAAUCACCAUCUACAAAGACAAAGGAUCUCAUUUCCACCUUCUACCUUUUA